CACCACUCAAGCCUGGCUUGGUAUUGGGCGUCGCGAGUCCGCGCGCCUCAAAGUCUCCGGCUGAGCUGUCCGUCUCCCAGCGUUGUGAAUCUCAUUCGCUACGGAGUCUCGGGCAGCCGCGGCCGUUAAACUUAUCUAAA
rnacentral:misc_RNA from 2 species